UCUCCAUUUCGCAAACUCUCUCACCGGUCAAAAAGGCGAGAGAGGGUGUGAAAUGAGGAGA
rnacentral:pre_miRNA from 1 species